ACCGCCAGGGAAUUACGAGCUCAAACUUAAAACCCAAAGGACUUGACGGUGUCCCACUCCCUCUAGAGGAGCCUGUGCUAUAAUCGACUAUACCCGCUAAACCCAACUGCUUUUUGAUUUUCCCCAGCUUGUAUACUUCCGUCGUAAGCCCACCAUGUUGAAAGACUUACAGUGAGCUUAAAGACCCAUACCGCCAACACGUCAGGUCAAGGUGCAGCCAACAAAGCAGACAGUAAUGGGCUACAGUUUCUAUCAUAGAACCCACGAAAAACUAUAUGAAAUAUAACAACGAAGGAGGAUUUAGAAGUAAAAAGAAAAUAAAGUGUUCUUUUUAACUAGGUACUGGGACGCGUACAGACCGCCCGUCACCCUCUUCAUCAACACCAAACAGCUUAAUAACCACAAAAAAUUAUAUAGAA
rnacentral:rRNA from 1 species